rnacentral:rRNA from 1 species
AUUGAACGCUGGCGGCAUGCUUUACACAUGCGAGUCGAACGGCAGCGCGGGCUUCGGCCUGGCGGCGAGUGGCGAACGGGUGAGUAAUGCAUCGGAACGUGCCCAGUAGUGGGGGAUAGCCCGGCGAAAGCCGGAUUAAUACCGCAUACGACCUGAGGGUGAAAGCGGGGGACCGAAAGGCCUCGCGCUAUUGGAGCGGCCGAUGUCGGAUUAGCUAGUUGGUGGGGUAAAGGCUUACCAAGGCGACGAUCCGUAGCUGGUCUGAGAGGACGACCAGCCACACUGGGACUGAGACACGGCCCAGACUCCUACGGGAGGCAGCAGUGGGGAAUUUUGGACAAUGGGGGCAACCCUGAUCCAGCCAUGCCGCGUGCGGGAAGAAGGCCUUCGGGCUGUAAACCGCUUUUGUUCGGGAAGAAAUCCUCUGGGCUAAUACCCCGGGGGGAUGACGGUACCGGAAGAAUAAGCACCGGCUAACUACGUG